GUGGGGAAUUUUGGACAAUGGGCGCAAGCCUGAUCCAGCAAUGCCGCGUGCAGGAAGAAGGCCUUCGGGUUGUAAACUGCUUUUGUACGGAACGAAACGGUCCUGGUUAAUACCCGGGGCUAAUGACGGUACCGUAAGAAUAAGCACCGGCUAACUACGUGCCAGCAGCCGCGGUAAUACGUAGGGUGCAAGCGUUAAUCGGAAUUACUGGGCGUAGAGCGUGCGCAGGCGGUGCUGUAAGACAGGCGUGAAAUCCCCGGGCUUAACCUGGGAAUUGCGCUUGUGACUGCAGUGCUGGAGUGCGGCAGAGGGGGAUGGAAUUCCGCGUGUAGCAGUGAAAUGCGUAGAUAUGCGGAGGAACACCGAUGGCGAAGGCAAUCCCCUGGGCCUGCACUGACGCUCAUGCACGAAAGCGUGGGGAGCAAACAGGAUUAGAAACCCCUGUAGUCC
rnacentral:rRNA from 1 species